rnacentral:rRNA from 1 species
AUUGAACGCUGGCGGCAGGCCUAACACAUGCAAGUCGAGCGGAGCGGCGGACGGGUGAGUAAUGCCUAUGAAUCUGCCUGGUAGUGGGGGAUAACGUCCGGAAACGGGCGCUAAUACCGCUUACUAUCAGAUGAGCCUAGGCCGGGUUAGCUAGUUGGUGGGGUAAAGGCCUACCAAGGCGACGAUCCGUAACUGGUCGGAGAGGAUGAUCAGUCACACGGGAACUGAGACACGGUCCAGACGCUUACGGGAGGCAGCAGUGGGGAAUAUUGGACAAUGGGCGAAAGCCUGAUCCAGCCAUGCCGCGUGUGUGAAGAAGGUCUUCGGAUGGUAAAGCACUGUAAGUUGGGAGGCGUUACCAACAGAAUAAGCACCGGCGAACUGCGUGCCAGCCGCCGCGGUAAUUC